AGCGCCACCAUGUUGUACGUACGCCACGCAGCGCCCCUCCGUGGGCGGGAAGCAUAGCGCCGACCCGUCGUACGACCACCGAUGUGCCGCCUCUCUGAGGGGCCAGGCUGUGCCUCAGCGUUCCACAGCGACGCCGCACAAAGAUUUUUUUUUGGCCUCGCUGUAGAGAUAAAUGAAAUGACAAAGGACCUGCAAAGGGCAGAGGGAAUGAAUGAGAUUGGAGCCUAUCAAGGAAAGGUGAGAGGGAGCAUUGGAUGUGAGCCUCCUACUGAAGAAAUACUUGAAAAAUUUUUGUAUUAUUUCUAGGAGCUACCUUUGGGACCUUAGGAAAGCAGAUAACCUCACUGAGACGUCUUAUCUGUGAUAUAGGAAUAAUAAUCCCAUAUUACAGAUAUGCUGGGAGAGUUAAUGGAGGUAAAGCAUGGACUGGCACACUGUGAAAGCUUAGUCUUAGUUGUUUUCACUGACCUUUGAACACAGUAUCAAAAAAAGUUGGAAAUUGUACCAGUUGGAAGACUGGAGUCUCGAGGAUACCCCUGAAGACCUGUGGCCAUUCACUGUUAAUCAAGCCCCUGCAGAAGUCUUAUAUUGAGAGAGCUAUUUACUGGGUUAUGGGUUACAUGCUUCAAGUAUUAUACAGUCUGUUAAGCUCAUGAGAGUAGAUAACUCUGUCUAAAAUGAACAGGCAGUUGUUUAAUGUUUAAUAGUUCUUAGAGACUCACUGAAAAAACCUCCUUAAAGGGCAGUUAAAGGGAAUCCCAGUGGCAGUAUAUAGUAAUAUUACUUCGAAAGCCAAAACCUAUUGCUGAUGAAGCAAAGGGAAAGUACAGAAACUCUUUUGGUGGGAUGUUUAUAGCUGUUAUUGGCAUAGGAAUGAGGAAUGAUUGGAACUAUAGUUAUUAAAGAAUAUUACAAAGCAAAAACUAGUAUGGUCCUGGUGUAGGAAUCGACCAAUGGAACAGAAUAAAGGACAGAUCUUUAUAUAUAUAUGGGACUUUGAUAUCAUAAAUAUGGUACUACCACAACAAAUGGAAAAGGAUGCCUUUUUUGGUAUAUGGUAUUAGGAAAACUGUCUCAUCACCUGGAGAAAAAGUUGGACUUUUGACUUAAACCACACAAAGAUGAACUCUAGAUGGAUUAAAAACUAACUGAGCUAAAAAUACAGGGCCAGUAGAAGAAAAUAAACAUUAUCUUUGUGAAGUGUAUCAGAUUAUGAAAGUACAAAUCAUAGAUGAAAAAUUGAUGACUUAACUACAUCAAUAUUAAGGGUUUUUUUUGUUGAAUGAAGGAAACUAAAAAAGUUAACAGACAUGGAGAGAAUAAUUGGAGAGCAUUGAAAACAAGGAAUCAAUAUUUAGAUCAAUCAUGUCCACUAAAAAUAUUAUGUGAGCCAUAUAUUUAAAAUAUUCUAAUAAUCACACUAAAAAUAAGUGAAAUUAAUUUUAAUAAUAUACCCAAAUUUUUAUAAAUUACCCGAAAUACUGGUGUUUCAACAUGAAAUCUGAAAAAAAAGAUAUUAAAAUAUUUUUCAUGCUAAGUACUUGAAAUCUUGUUUGUAUUUUGCACUUAUAGCACAUUUCAAUUUAGACAAUAAAUUUUCAUUGGAAGUUUAUGAUCUAUCGAUAUAUUUCAUAAAAAUUAGGCUUGCAUGCCCCAGUUCCAUACAUACUUAAAAAUUUCCAAUAAAUAUACUGGUCUCCAAAAAACACUUUUCUUCAGUAAUUUGUAUCCCUGUUAACAAAAUUGAUUCAUCUUUUUUAGAAGAAUUGAUUUGACUUUGAAGCAAAAGCAUAUCAGCUUUAAAACUACACUAACUGAAGCUAAAAGUAAAUUCACUAACUGUUGUGUUAAAUUUAAUCACUUAAUUUAAAUCAAUUUAAAUUAUUAACAUUGAGUUCAAAGGGGUAUUACAAACUUUGAAGGCAACUCUAAACUUACCAAUAUUAACAAAGCAUUUUUCAAAAUCUUCUUGUGUUAUAGCAUCUUACUAUGCUGAUGAACAGCGACUGUAAUGGGGUAUGUGGUGGGGACUUGAUAAUGGGGGGAGUCUAGUAACCAUAAUGUUGCUCAUGUAAUUGUACAUUAAUGAUACCAAAAAAAAAAUAUUUUUGUGUUUUUUUCUUCUUUGCAAUCAAAUUACAUAAUCUUGUUGGUUGCUGUUAGAAUCUCCUGCACUCUGAUUCAUAUUAGAAAAAUGUGUAAAAUCAUUAUUACUGAUUUGUGUUAUGAAGAGUUUCAAUUUCAACUUAAAAUCUUAUACUGCCUAGCUAGAUCAAGAACGACUUUUUUUUGGAGUUUUUAAAUGUUAUUUGUUCAUAUGUAUUUAGGUAUCUGUGAGAGUAAAUCACACUGUUAUUCUCUGUCUUUGAUUAUUAAAUACUUAGCACAUUCCUUACAUUUCAGAAAAAUCUUAAAUUGGACUUAAUAUCUUUUAAAAAUCCUUCCAUGACUGUCAAUGAGUGCUGGCAAUGAACAUGAACAAUAUCACUAAAAUCAUGGUAUUCUAUUUCAACAGUUCCAUAAGCUGGCAAUAAUUUAUAGUAUUUGUACAUAUAUGCCAAAUGACUUUUAAACAACUGAAUACCUGUAACACAUUUAUAGAAUCUGCUUCAGAAAACUGAGCACAGGUAUUUUCUAUGUAUCAUAAUUUGGAAUUAAGCAGUAAGGGAAAUAGCAGUCCCUUAUUCUAAAAUUCCAAUAAAUCCAGAUUUUUGAUCUAGUAGAGUUGGACCAUCAUGUGUCAUGUUAGAAACACAUUUUUUAAUAAAUAGCUGAAAUUCUUUUUGGCUAUAAAAGAUAAAAAAUCUGCACUGAAAAUUCAAAUUUUUUCCCUUUGGUUUGAUUCCACUUCUUAAGUUUGGAAGUCCUUUGAGAAACAAAUAUACCAAAGUAUUAUGUCUUAUGUCAAUGUCUCUAUGUCACAUGACCCAUUUAAAGCUAAAAAAAAGCACUUGCCAUUUUUCAGAUUAUGAAUCACUUGCUCUUUGAUAUUAGUAGAAAGAUAAUGGGCAAUUGUUUGAUGGUUUAGUUUAGAUCUUUAACUUUUUGUUAAACGUCUUUUCUUCAUAAUUUUCUAGCAUAAUUUCCAUAACUGAAAAAUUUUUUUUACCAUCUUUUGUCUAAAAUGAUUUUUUAUCAAUGGAUUGAUUGGUUGAUUGAUGCAAGAAUCCAAAACAUUUGUUAGGUGGCUAAAAUUAGAAGCUCAGAUCCUGUUAAAACCAUUAAGAGUUUUUUGCUGGACAUUUAAUUCCCAUUUCAAGCUAAUUUCAUUGAUUCUUUUUGACUAUUGAGGACAAAUUUCUUAUAAAUUCAUUAUGUAUUUGCUUAAAUUAUCUCAAUAUUGUCCAAUUUAUUCACUUAAAAAAUUUUUUUAAGGAAUAGUUUUUUUUUUUUUGCUGUGCUGCAGCAAAUUUCAUUUUCCACUUACUGUAUAUUUGUGACAUACUUAACUUUUAGUCCCCUCUUUAAAAAAUUGAUCCAGCUAUAUUAUUAGUUUCUGUUUCCACUUGAUACUGCAUCAAUAGUAUGCCUUCAUUUUAUGUUUUAACAUAGGUUCACUUGUUUUUUAAACUGUAAGAACGACUUAGUUAUAAUUAGGAUAAUAAGUAUUUAAAUUUAAUUACCUCUAAAACAGAGGAAAAUUAGAAUUUCUUGCCACCAGAUCGACCUUUAAAUAAUGGCUAAAAUAGAUUCUCUAAAGGGAAUGUCUUGGACUAGAACUGGAUCAGGCCUGGAACUUCAGAAAAGAAGAAAGAUCAGUGGAGUGGGUAAAAAUAGGGCUACGUAUAAUAGACUGUUCUUUACCUCAUGAGUUUUAAAAAUCAUGUUUCAUAGUUUGUAUUAAAUUUCUAUUGCUGCUUUAACAAAUAACUACAAGUGUGGCUUAAACAGUACAAAUUUAUUAUCUUACAGUUUCUAAGGUCAGAGUUCAAAGUGGUCUCACUGGCCUAAAAUUAAGGUAUCAUCAGCACUGUAUUCCUUUUGGAGACUAGGAGAGAAUUUAUUUCCUUAUCUUUAUGACCUUCUAGAGGCCACAUGCUUUCCUUGGUUCUUGGUCUCUUCCUCAUGUUCAAAGCCAGUAAUGUUGGCUGAGUCCUUCUCACAUUGUUGUAUCUCUGGUUCUCUUUUCUGACUCCUUCUUCCACUUUUAAGGAUCCAGUGACUAGAUUGGGCUCACCUCAGUCACCCGGUAUAAUCUCUCUCUCUUCAGGUCAGCUAAUUGGCAACCUUAAUUCUAUCUGCUACCUUAAUUCCCCUUUUGUCUUAAAACCUAACAUAUCCACUGGUUCUGGGGAUUAAUAUGUGAACAUCUUUUGGGGGAGGUGACAUGAUUCUGCUCAAUGUAUAUACAGGAAAUACUGAAGAAUUACAUUUAAAGGGUGGGGAGGGAUACAUUUCUAGAGAAUUAUGCUGGGAGAAAAUAGCCAAUCCCAAAAGUCAUAUACUAUGUUAUUCCAUUUAUGUGCCAUUUUAAAAAUGAAACAACUUUAGAAAUGGAGGGCAUAUUGUCAGGACAAAUGAUUGCCAGUGGUUAGGCAUGGGGGAGUGGGUUGAGGGAGGUGAAUAGGUUAUAAAAGGGCAGUACAAGCAUUCUCAGUGAUGUUGGAACUGUUGAAUAUCUUGACUAUGGUAGUGGAUACAUGAACCAACACAGAUGAUAAAAUUGUAUAAAAUGUAAUAAUGUAAACACACACAUACAAAUACUUAUAAAACUAAGAAAUCUGAGUGUGAUCAUUGGGGUUUAUCAAAUUCAAUAUUCUGGUUGUGAUAUAAGGGACUUAAAAUUCAGUAUAUAUCUCAAACCUUUUAAUAUUUUUUAUCAACUACUUUUUUGGGGUAUUGGAAAUACUGAGUUUAGUUUGUAUAUUAAUCUCAGUUUCUCUGUGGAUAGCAGGAUAUUUUAGGAUAUUGAUCUUUUUUUUAGUCUAGUAUCUUAAAGAGUGGCCACCAGAGGCAGGAGGGAGAACUGUGUGGUUAUUAAAGGUCAACAUGAGGAUCCCUUUAGUGGGGACUGUAUAGAGUAUCCUGUGAUGGUGGGUACACAACCUUGCACAGGUGAUAAAGUUACAUAGAACUCAGUACAUCAUACAUUCUCAAAUGAGUCCAGUGGGGAAAUCUGAAUUCAAUCUGUGGGUUGUAUUAAUGUCAAUAUUCCUGUUGUGAUAUGCUAUAGUUCUGUAAAACGUUACCAUUGGGGGAAAUGUACAAGAGAUCUUUCUUCAUUAUUUCUUAAAACUGCAUGUGAAUCUACAAUUUUCUCAAUAAAAUUUUGAAU